UGGAAUGUAUAGAUAUCGAGAAGAACACCUAUAGCGAAGGCAGUCAUCUGGGCAUUUAUCGACGCUGAAUCACGAAAGCUGGGGGAGCAAACAGGCUUAGAUACCCUGGUAGUCCCAGCCGUAAACGUUGCACACUAGGUGCUCCUAUUAAAAUAGGCGUGCCGUAGCUAACGUCUUAAGUGUGCCGCCUGAGGAGUAUGCCCGCAAGGGUGAAACUCAAAGAAAUUGACGGGUCCCCGCACAAGUGGUGGAGCAUGUGGUUUAAUUCGAUGAUACGCGAAAAACCUUACCUGGGUUUGAAUUGUUAGAUGAAUGAUAUAGAGAUAUGUCAGACCGCAAGGACAUUUAACAUAGGUGCUGCAUGGCUGUCGUCAGCUCGUGUCGUGAGAUGUUGGGUUAAGUCCCGCAACGAGCGCAACCCUUACCCUUUGUUGCUACCGAGUAAUGUCGGGCACUCUUAGGGGACCGCCUACGUUUAAGUAGGAGGAAGGUGGGGAUGAUGUCAAGUCCUCAUGGCCCUUAUGUCCAGGGCUACACACGUGCUACAAUGGCAACUACAAAGAGAAGCGAGACCGCGAGGUGGAGCAAAUCUCAAAAAAGUUGCCUCAGUUCGGAUUGGAGUCUGAAACUCGACUCCAUGAAGUUGGAAUCACUAGUAAUCGUAGAUCAGAACGCUACGGUGAAUACGUUCCCGGGGAUUGUACACACCGCCCG
rnacentral:rRNA from 1 species